UAAACGACUCUCGGCAACGGAUAUCUGGGCUCUCGCAUCGAUGAAGAACGUAGCGAAAUGCGAUACUUGGUGUGAAUUGCAGAAUCCCGUGAACCAUCGAGUCUUUGAACGCAAGUUGCGCCCGAAGCCAUUAGGCCGAGGGCACGCCUGCCUGGGCGUCACAC
rnacentral:rRNA from 1 species